CACUGCUUCUGUUCCCGCUGCAGGACAUGGCCAAGAGUGCUGGGCUUCGCUGUUUCCAGUGCCCUCUGUGCAGAGACAGAGAGGUCUUUAUUCAAGAAAUGGUCAAUUUGGGGAUCCACAUCCCAGCCAGGUUAGUGUCCUUCAGCCAGCUCUCGAGACAUGAGGGCACAAGAGCUGUGCCAGCCCAAGGACUGUCCCGGCAGGCCUGGCCCUUUGCUGCCCGUGAUCAGUGGCCUCAGCUUCACACAUAUGGUGGAACGGCAGUCAGGCUGGAAGAGCAGGGAUGGCUUUGGCUGCUCUUAGUCUCGAGGCACUGGGAGCUCAUCACAUUCCCUCCCUUCUCUGGCAGAAAACCAAAGUGGGAGACCAACCGUGCCUACGCAUCCCUGGGAGUCAGGCACAGGAGCUGCAAUGCCAGCGACUGCCGUUCCCCACACGGCAGGGAUCGGGCAGAGGCAGAGGGGCCCUGGCAGCUGCUCCUCUGCAGCUCCUGUGCUGCACAAGGCACCCACAGACUCUGCUCCAACUUGAGUCCAAGGACAUCUGAAUGGGAGUGCAACGCCUGUGCUGGAGAGGGCACCGCCUCCAGCACCAACGUGGACAGCGCUGGCCCCACCACCACCAGCCAGCAGGGACCGGGGCCAUCCCAAGGCCCCAUAGCACAGGAGAGCAGCAGCUCCGGCACCACCAACCAGGCACCGUCGGGACCAGAUCCCAGUUCCCAGGUGCCUGAGCUGCUCUCCAGGCAGGCAGGGCGGGCCCGGACUCGGAGCCGCUCGCCUCUCACACAUCGGGCUGCAGAGAAC
rnacentral:lncRNA from 1 species